rnacentral:ribozyme from 13 species
CAUAGAGAGAGAGAGAGAGAGAGAGAGAGAGAGAGAGAAAAGGAAAGACACCUUGUGGGGUUCUUUCUUCCCUUUGGAGGGAACACAAAACAUUUCCGUUUUUUUUCGCUUCUAUUCUUUUUUCUGUUUCUUUCUUUUUUUUUUCUUUUUUUCUUCCUUCCCUCCUUCCAUCGAUUAUUAUCACAACA